CCUACGGGUGGCUGCAGUGAGGAAUAUUGGUCAAUGGACGAGAGUCUGAACCAGCCAAGUAGCGUGAAGGAUGACUGCCCUAUGGGUUGUAAACUUCUUUUAUAUGGGAAUAAAAUGUUCCACGUGCGGGAUGUUGUAUGUACCAUAUGAAUAAGGAUCGGCUAACUCCGUGCCAGCAGCCGCGGUAAUACGGAGGCUCCGGGCGUUAUCCGGAUUUAUUGGGUUUAAAGGGAGCGUAGGUGGAUUGUUAAGUCAGUUGUUAAAGUUUGCGGCUGAACCGUAGAAUUGCAGUUGAAACUGGCAGUCUUGAGUACAGUAGAGGUAGGCGGAAUUCGUGGUGUAGCGGUGAAAUGCUUAGAUAUCACGAAGAACUCCGAUUGCGAAGGCAGCUUACUGGACUGCAACUGACACUGAGGCUCGAAAGUGUGGGUAUCAAACAGGAUUAGAUACCCGAGUAGUC
rnacentral:rRNA from 1 species